rnacentral:rRNA from 1 species
AGAAUCUUCCACAAUGGGCGAAAGCCUGAUGGAGCAACGCCGCGUGUGUGAUGAAGGGUUUCGGCUCGUAAAACACUGUUGUAAGAGAAGAAUGACAUUGAGAGUAACUGUUCAAUGUGUGACGGUAUCUUACCAGAAAGGAACGGCUAAAUACGUGCCAG